AGUGAACGCUGGCGGUAGGCCUAACACAUGCAAGUCGAACGGCAGCACAGUAAGAGCUUGCUCUUACGGGUGGCGAGUGGCGGACGGGUGAGGAAUACAUCGGAAUCUACUUUUUCGUGGGGGAUAACGUAGGGAAACUUACGCUAAUACCGCAUACGACCUACUGGUGAAAGCAGGGGAUCUUCGGACCUUGCGCGAUUGAAUGAGCCGAUGUCGGAUUAGCUAGUUGGCGGGGUAAAGGCCCACCAAGGCGACGAUCCGUAGCUGGUCUGAGAGGAUGAUCAGCCACACUGGAACUGAGACACGGUCCAGACUCCUACGGGAGGCAGCAGUGGGGAAUAUUGGACAAUGGGAGCAAGCCUGAUCCAGCCAUACCGCGUGGGUGAAGAAGGCCUUCGGGUUGUAAAGCCCUUUUGUUGGGAAAGAAAAGCAGCAGGUUAAUACCCCGCUGUUCUGACGGUACCCAAAGAAUAAGCACCGGCUAACUUCGUG
rnacentral:rRNA from 1 species